rnacentral:rRNA from 1 species
UACGUAGGCAGCAAGCGUUGUUCGGAAUUACUGGGCGUAAAGGGUGUGUAGGCGGUGUUCUAAGUUUGGCGUGAAAUCUCCCGGCUUAACUGGGAGGGUGCGGCGAAAACUGGAAUGCUAGAGGAUGGGAGAGGUAAGCGGAAUUCCUGGUGUAGCGGUGAAAUGCGUAGAUAUCAGGAGGAACACCGGUGGCGAAGGCGGGUCUCUGGGCAACAACUGACGCUGAGGAGCGAAAGCGUGGGGAGCGAACAGG